AUGGAGACCACUACAGGAGCAGUUUCUUGUUACCCUGUUGGAAAGUCCCAGAAGCAAGAUCAAGUCUCUCUGCAGAGGAGACUUGGAGAUCUGUCAUCAAAUGACGUCUCCAUUGAGCAUGCCCUGGCCUUGCUCCGAUCCAUAGGGUCUGACGCUAAACAAGACAGAGAAGAGUAUUUAGAGACUAACGAAGUAGAAUCCCAAGCUUCUCCAAACCAUGGUAGCUCUCAGGCAAAUGAUGCCCUGUCCUCUGAGGAGAAGCUCAGGCGCAUGUCCUCUGACGACGCUGCGACUGGCCCGUCUGACGACGCUAACUCUGAAGCUGCGACUGGCCCGUCUGACGACGCUACCUCUGAAGCUGCGACUGGCCCGUCUGACGACGCUACCUCUGAAGCUGCGACUGGCCCGUCUGACGCACGCUACCUCUGAAGCUGCGACUGGCCCGUCUGACGACGCUACCUCUGAAGCUGCGACUGGCCCCCGUCUGACGACGCUACCUCUGAAGCUGCGACUGGCCCCCGUCUGACGAACGCAACCUCUGAAGCUGCGACUGGCCCCCCGUCUGACGACGCUACCUCUGAAGCUGCGACUGGCCCCCCGUCUGACGACGCUACCUCUGAAGCUGCGACUGGCCCCCGUCUGACGACGCUACCGCUGAAGCUGCGACUGGCCCCCCCUCUGACGACGCUACCGCUGAAGCUGCGACUGGCCCCCCGUCUGACGACGCUACCGCUGAAGCUGCGACUGGCCCCCCGUCUGACGACGCUACCGCUGAAGCUGCGACUGGCCCCCCGUCUGACGCACGCUACCGCUGAAGCUGCGACUGGCCCCCCGUCUGACGCACGCUACCGCUGAAGCUGCGACUGGCCCCCGUCUGACGACGCUACCGCUGAAGCUGCGACAGGCCCCCGUCUGACGACGCUACCGCUGAAGCUGCGACUGGCCCCCCGUCUGACGACGCUUACCGCUGAAGCUGCGACUGGCCCCCCGUCUGACGCAACGCUACCUCUGAAGCUGCGACUGGCCCCCCGUCUGACCAUGCCUUUGAGGAACUGUUCACCGCUUCAUCGGAGCCCCGUAAACGGUCAUUAGUGGCCUAUAUAAGCCUCAUACAGGCCAUGGGAAGACAUUACCUGUUGAUAACACAGACUAUUCUCAUGAUCAUGGGAGGUGUGAGAGAAUUGCUGCUCUUUGUGAUGACUGUGGGGGUUGUCAAAGUUUCUUGUUACCCUGUUGGAAAGUCCCAGAAGCAAGAUCAAGUCUCUCUGCAGAGGAGACUUGGAGAGCUGUCAUCAAAUGACGUCUCCAUUGAGCAUGCCCUGGCCUUGCUCCGAUCCAUAGGGUCUGACGCUAAACAAGACAGAGAAGAGUAUUUAGAGACUAACGAAGUAGAAUCCCAAGCUUCUCCAAACCAUGGUAGCUCUCAGGCAAAUGAUGCCCUGUCCUCUGAGGAGAAGCUGAGGCGCAUGUCCUCUGACGACGCUGCGACUGGCCCGUCUGACGACGCUACCUCUGAAGCUGCGACUGGCCCGUCUGACGACGCUACCUCUGAAGCUGCGACUGGCCCGUCUGACGACGCUACCUCUGAAGCUGCGACUGGCCCGUCUGACGACGCUACCUCUGAAGCUGCGACUGGCCCGUCUGACGACGCUACCUCUGAAGCUGCGACUGGCCCGUCUGACGACGCUACCUCUGAAGCUGCGACUGGCCCGUCUGACGACGCUACCUCUGAAGCUGCGACUGGCCCGUCUGACGACGCUACCUCUGAAGCUGCGACUGGCCCCGUCUGACGCACGCUACCUCUGAAGCUGCGACUGGCCCGUCUGACGACGCUACCUCUGAAGCUGCGACUGGCCCCCGUCUGACUUGACGCUACCUCUGAAGCUGCGACUGGCCCCCCG